rnacentral:sRNA from 1 species
AAGCAAAAGACGAAAAUGGCUAAAUUCGUGAUCCGCCCAGCCACUGCCGCCGACUGCAGUGACAUACUGCGGCUGAUCAAGGAGCUGGCUAAAUAUGAAUACAUGGAUGGGCGGGGAGGUAACUAAAAGAUCCUUUACACAAUAAAGUAGAUGAUCAUGAUAAAUGAGGACACAGCAUUGUUGGUUUUGCCAUGUACUAUUUUACCUAUGACCCGUGGAUUGGCAAGUUAUUGUAUCUUGAGGACUUCUUCGUGAUGAGUGAUUAUAGAGGCUUUGGCAUAGGAUCAGAAAUUCUGAAGAAUCUAAGCCAGGUUGCAAUGAGGUGUCGCUGCAGCAGCAUGCACUUCUUGGUAGCAGAAUGGAAUGAACCAUCCAUCAACUUCUAUAAAAGAAGAGGUGCUUCUGAUCUGUCCAGUGAAGAGGGUUGGAGACUGUUCAAGAUCGACAAGGAGUACUUGCUAAAAAUGGCAACAGAGGAGUGAGGAGUGCUGGUGUAGAUGACAACCUCCAUUCUAUUUUAGAAUAAAUUCCCAACUUACCUUGCUUUCUAUGCUGUUUGUAGUGAAAUAAUAGAAUGAGCACCCAUUCCAAAGCUUUAUUACCAGUGGCGUUGUUGCAUGUUUGAAAUGAGGUCUGUUUAAAGUGGCAAUCUCAGAUGCAGUUUGGAGAGUCAGAUCUUUCUCCUUGAAUAUCUUUCGAUAAACAACAAGGUGGUGUGAUCUUAAUAUAUUUGAA